rnacentral:rRNA from 1 species
ACGUAAUAGAUACCCGGGUAGUCCACGCCCUAAACGAUGUCUACUAGUUGUCGGGUCUUAAUUGACUUGGUAAACGCAGCUAAACGCGUGAAAGUAGACCGCCUGGGGAGUACGGUCGCAAGAUUAAAACUCAAAGGAAUUGACGGGGACCCGCACAAAGCGGUGGAGUGAUGUGGAUUAAUUCGAUGCAACGCGAAAAACCUUACCUACCCUUGACAUGUCAGGAAUCCUGGAGAGAUCUGGGAGUGCCCGAAAGGGAGCCUGAACACAGGUGCUGCAUGGCUGUCGUCAGCUCGUGUCGUGAGAUGUUGGGUUAAGUCCCGCAACGAGCGCAACCCUUGUCAUUAGUUGCUACGCAAGAGCACUCUAAUGAGACUGCCGGUGACAAACCGGAGGAAGGUGGGGAUGACGUCAAGUCCUCAUGGCCCUUAUGGGUAGGGCUUCACACGUCAUACAAUGGUACAUACAGAGGGCCGCCAACCCGCGACGGGAGCUAAUCCCAGAAAGUGUAUCGUAGUCCGGAUCGCAGUCUGC